UACGUAGGGUGCAAGCGUUUAAUCGGAAUUACUGGGCGUAAAGCGUGCGCAGGCGGUUUUGUAAGUCUGAUGUGAAAUCCCCGGGCUCAACCUGGGAAUUGCAUUGGAGACUGCAAGGCUAGAAUCUGGCAGAGGGGGGUAGAAUUCCACGUGUAGCAGUGAAAUGCGUAGAGAUGUGGAGGAACACCGAUGGCGAAGGCAGCCCCCUGGGUCAAGAUUGACGCUCAUGCACGAAAGCGUGGG
rnacentral:rRNA from 1 species